rnacentral:misc_RNA from 1 species
CCGUCAAUCCGGCUUGAAUCGAGGGACAGGUCUAGGGUAGGCCAGAGUCGGGUCUAGGGUAGGCAACACUCACCCUCGAAGUGGUCUACCCGGUAGCCAACUUCAAUCGCCUCUCACGGCCGCCACGGACCUCGAAUGACGACGGGACUACCACCAUCGGAUUCGCCUUGGUCGAAAUAGCUGGUAUAUGCACUUUUGAAAAAAUGCGUGCAAAAUGGUUUUGUGGUUUGGUGGCCGUGAGUCGAUUUUUUUGUUUUCCCAUACAAAUGAAUUUUGCGGAAAAUAAAAAGUGGCCCACGAGGCAGUCCUGGCGUGCGGCCCACUAAAAAGGUCUCGGAGGGUAUAUGAGAAGGGAGCAAAUCCGGCCGAGCCUGAAAGGGUGAGGACAAACCGGGCGAGCAACCUCUCAGUAUCAGAUCUUGCAGACUUCCACUGCGUGUCCCUCUGUACAGCUUUGCAGGCUCCGGCCUCGGCAGCGGGGGGUUCAUAGUGGUCGUCGACCUCCACGAAACUGCACGCUCCGGCGUGACAGCGUACUGGGGAUGCCUGUGUAGAUGCAGUCCGGGCUUGCCUGGACCGCUAGCAGAUGGGCUCUGUGGAUGACUGGCCGCUGGCUAGACCUGAAACCUGAGCAACGGGAGGUAACCUCUCGCCGCGGACACCGGAAUGGUAGAAGCGGCGUGCUGCGUCCUCCUCUUGGGGCCCCUAAGCCACACCUCCCAUAGCGGGUUCGGUGCGGCGGACGGACGCCCUGGGGAAUUUAGAGGGGGAAAGCGGAUUGCCCUAGCGGUGUUGUUGGCCCUGCCGACCUCACUGCGAAAGGCGCGACUUCACCGUCGCCACCCAGUAA